CCUGCCCCUAGAGGUGCUGCAGGAGUGGCUGCUGGGUCGUGCAUGACAGAGAGGAAGAUGCUAUGUCUAAGCUCAGUGUUCUCACCUGGGAACAUCUGAAUGUAGCCUAACAUU
ensembl:snoRNA LOC120101347 small nucleolar RNA SNORA17